rnacentral:rRNA from 1 species
UACGUAGGGGGCAAGCGUUGUCCGGAAUCAUUGGGCGUAAAGAGCGUGUAGGCGGCUCGAUAAGUCUGCUGUGAAAGUCCAGGGCUCAACCCUGGAAGGCCGGUGGAAACUGUCGGGCUAGAGUCCGGAAGAGGCGAGUGGAAUUCCCGGUGUAGCGGUGAAAUGCGCAGAUAUCGGGAGGAACACCAAUGGCGAAGGCAGCUCGCUGGGACGGUACUGACGCUGAGACGCGAAAGCGUGGGAGCAACAGGAUAGAACCGUGAUACGUCCAGCA